rnacentral:piRNA from 1 species
UCUGCAAUCAGACCUGGUUCCUCCCAACAA